rnacentral:lncRNA from 1 species
CUUGGUUAAAUCUAGUCAAUAAGUAAUGAGAGUGCAAAGGAAGAGGUAGGGAACCUCCGGCAAAUGUGGAUGACAGCUAGGCUUAGCUACACCUCAAAGUACAUAUCGCAAAAGAAUAUUAUGUUACAUAUAAAAUGGCAGAUGCUUGCUUCAGACUGUCAUGCACAUUGGAACAUUAUUUCAUGCAGGUAUCCAGCAAGGACUUCACCAUCAGUGUCCAGCAGGCAGCUCCUCAAUUGAGAUAGGUACCACUUGCCGGCAGGGCAGUUAUUUUCAAAGUGACGGUAAGUAUGUUGGUAUGCACUACCAGCUUGACAAUAGCAAGAACUAGGGGUUAGUACGUAAUCAAGAUCUAGUCAAGAAGAGUGAAAUAGCUUUAAGACUGAUGCAACUUAGAACUUGCAGGGAGACCUCAGACAUGUUGACUCAAAGACACUCAAGUAUGUUGAUGGCUUCAACCUCUCUCACCAUUAAACUUACAAUUAUGGAAGAAUAAGUACUUUUAGGCGAGAUGAUUAAAUGGAAAUGGCUCUCGAAAUUCCACAACUGAACUUUCAUGAGUACUUAAUUAAACGAGGGCUUCGGCGCAUAACAUGACAGAGAAAGGGCACUUUAUUGGGGUUUGAAUUAUAUGGAAAUGAAUGCUGUAUGGAGUUGAAAAAGGUUUAGAUACUGCUAACUAAAAAGGUCAAAGAAUAGUCUAUAACCUGGGCAGAAAACAGGAAUGUGACAUUAAAAGUGCGAUACCACUUAGGGGAACCGAGGUGGAACAUAGAAGAAAACUCACCUUUAAUGAUCACUUGGAAAAGUUGCAAGUAAGUGUAGAUGAGAACUGAUUAAAAGCUGUUAAGAACAGCAAAUCACUUCGAUCACAGUCACUGAGGAUAACUUGACGAUCACACAGAGAAUUGAACGCGAAUAUCGCACAGAGUACUUCACCACACGACGCACAGUCACAAAGUAUGCUCAAAAAGCCGGCUCCGUUCAAUUUAUUAGUGUUUCGAACUUUCUAGAAAUAUCAGGACCAUUCAGGAGCUUUCGAUGGAGGGCAUUCGGAGUUCUGGAAGAGUCCAGAAAGAUAAUCAACCAAUCAAAACAGAGGAAACGGCCGAGAGUUGCACAUCAUUGGUCGAUGAAAAGACCGGGCUCUCUGACUAAUUUCAAAAAACCUGCGAUGCCAUAUUGCCCGAUUGGGAACUCAUUUAAUUAUGGUUAA